GUGUACUCGGUCCUUUUGCAUGAUGCAUCGACUGUGCUGUGCUUUCACCAGAAGUCAACAGGAGAGUCCAGUCAUCUCGCAAAACAACCUUCCCAGCAGUUCGAUCUUCUGUUACGUUAUCGACAUGGUCUGUUAUCAUAUGCCAAUUGGUGGACACCUGUAUGAGCCAGAUGGAGGAUGAUGGCUGUGUUUGCGCUUCAGGCAGAAUGUCUCAGUAAUGAGUGUGAAUCUGCCAUGGCAGUAUAAUUACUUGAGAAAAUGGGUCUGCGAGAAACUCCAACAUGAGGACAGCUACCAUCUUAGCUGUAACGGACACUGUUGAGCAGUCUUGGGCCGAAAUUGUUACUUUGCAGAAACAAGACACUGCAAACACCUGAUGGCAGAUGUGGAACUUUUUUUCUUCUCCCAGAUGACAAACGUGCACUUUGUCAUUUCAACAUGGCAUCAUGACUUUGCGUAAACAUG